UACAGAGGGUGCUAGCGUUGUUCGGAAUCAUUGGGCGUAAAGGGCGUGUAGGCGGUUUGUUAAGUCAUGUGUGAAAUCCCUCGGCUCAACCGGGGAACGACGCAUGAAACUGGCAAGCUAGAGUACCAAAGAGGGGGGUGGAAUUCCCGGUGUAGCGGUGAAAUGCGCAGAUAUCGGGAGGAACACCUAUGGCGAAGACAGCUCGCUGGGACGUUACUGACGCUGAGACGCGAAAGCGUGGGGAGCAAACAGG
rnacentral:rRNA from 1 species